rnacentral:ncRNA from 1 species
ACUUCAGUACACGGGAGUCCCCAGGCAGUCCGAAUCUGCGGGGCUGAGAGUGGGCACAGCCAGAGUGACUGAACCUACCCUUACCCUCCCACACCUGAUCCGGGUCAUGCCGGCGAAGGGAGGUUCAAGAUGCCGUCAG